GAUGAACGCUGGCGGGAGGCCUAACACAUGCAAGCCGAGCGGUAUUGUUUCUUCGGAAAUGAGAGAGCGGCGUACGGGUGCGGAACACGUGUGCAACCUACCUUUAUCUGGAGGAUAGCCUUUCGAAAGGAAGAUUAAUACUCCAUAAUAUAUUGAUUGGCAUCAGUUGAUAUUGAAAGCUCCGGCGGAUAAAGAUGGGCACGCGCAAGAUUAGCUAGUUGGUGAGGUAACGGCUCACCAAGGCGAUGAUCUUUAGGGGGCCUGAGAGGUGAUCCCCACACUGGUACUGAGACACGGACCAGACUCCUACGGGAGGCAGCAGUGAGGAAUAUUGGUCAAUGGGUGCAAGCCUGAACCAGCCAUCCCGCGUGAAGGACGACUGCCCUAUGGGUUGUAAACUUCUUUUGUAUAGGGAUAAACCUACUCUCGUGAGAGUAGCUGAAGGUACUAUACGAAUAAGCACCGGCUAACUCCGUGCCAGCAGCCGCGGUAAU
rnacentral:rRNA from 1 species